AUUGAACGCUGGCGGCAGGCCUAACACAUGCAAGUCGAGCGGAUGAAGGGAGCUUGCUCCUGGAUUCAGCGGCGGACGGGUGAGUAAUGCCUAGGAAUCUGCCUGGUAGUGGGGGAUAACGUCCGGAAACGGGCGCUAAUACUGCAUACGUCCUGCGGGUGAAACUUGGGGGUCUUCGGACCUCACGCUAUCAGAUGAGCCUAGGUCGGAUUAGUUAGUUGGUGGGGUAAAGGCCUACCAAGGCGACGAUUCGUGACUGGUCUGAGAGGAGGAUCAGUCACACUAGAGCUGGGACACGGUCCAGACUCCUACGGGAGGCAGCAGUGGGGAAUAUUGGACAAUGGGCGAAAGCCUGAUCCAGCCAUGCCGCGUGUGUGAAGAAGGCCUUCGGAUUGUAAAGCACUUUAAGUUGGGAGGAAGGGCAGUAAGUUAAUACCUUGCUGUUUUGACGUUACCAACAGAAUAAGCACCGGCUAACUUCGUG
rnacentral:rRNA from 1 species